rnacentral:rRNA from 1 species
UACGAAGGGGGCUAGCGUUGUUCGGAAUUACUGGGCGUGAAGCGCACGUAGGCGGCUCUUUAAGUCGGGGGUGAAAUCCUGGAGCUCAACUCCAGAACUGCCUUCGAUACUGAAGAGCUCGAGUCCGGGAGAGGUGAGUGGAGCUGCGAGUGUAGAGGUGAAAUUCGUAGAUAUUCGCAAGAACACCAGUGGCGAAGGCGGCUCACUGGCCCGGUACUGACGCUGAGGUGCGAAAGCGUGGGGAGCAAACAGG